AUACUGGCAGGGGAGAUACCAUGAUCACGAAGGUGGUUUUCCCAGGGCGAGGCUUAUCCAUUGCACUCUGGAUGUGCUGACCCCUGUGAUUUCCCCAAAUGUGUGAAACUCAACUGAGUAAUUUGUGGUAGUGGGGGACUGCGUGUGUUUGCGCUUUCCCCUG
rnacentral:snRNA from 1 species